rnacentral:rRNA from 1 species
AUGAACGCUGGCGGCGUGCCUAAUACAUGCAAGUCGAGCGCACAGACGAGGAGCUUGCUCCUCUGACGUUAGCGGCGGACGGGUGAGUAACACGUGGAUAACCUACCUAUAAGACUGGGAUAACUUCGGGAAACCGGAGCUAAUACCGGAUAAUAUAUUGAACCGCAUGGUUCAAUAGUGAAAGACGGUUUUGCUGUCACUUAUAGAUGGAUCCGCGCCGCAUUAGCUAGUUGGUAAGGUAACGGCUUACCAAGGCAACGAUGCGUAGCCGACCUGAGAGGGUGAUCGGCCACACUGGAACUGAGACACGGUCCAGACUCCUACGGGAGGCAGCAGUAGGGAAUCUUCCGCAAUGGGCGAAAGCCUGACGGAGCAACGCCGCGUGAGUGAUGAAGGUCUUCGGAUCGUAAAACUCUGUUAUUAGGGAAGAACAAAUGUGUAAGUAACUAUGCACGUCUUGACGGUACAUAAUCAGAAAGCCACGGCUAACUACGUG